rnacentral:rRNA from 1 species
UUUAGACCUCAGAUCAGUCAGGACUACCCGCUGAACUUAAGCAUAUCAAUAAGCGGAGGAAAAGAAACUAACAAGGAUUCCCCUAGUAACGGCGAGUGAAGUGGGAAAAGCUCAACUUUGAAAUCUGGCACCUUCGGUGUCCGA